AAAGUCGUAACAAGGUUUCCGUAGGUGAACCUGCGGAAGGAUCAUUACAAAUCCGUUACCACAACACCCCACUCUUCACGAGUACCACGUUGAAUUGUUGCAUGUGUGCGUGGGCGAGCCGCCCCUUUCUUCACGCGAGGCGCCGGUCGCCCACCCGCAUCACCCCAACACACUAGUCCUUUCUUGUUGAUCAAGUGUAACCGAAGAGAGAGAGGCCGCCGCCGCAGCCGUCAGGGUGCGCGGCGCCCCUCUCGACUCCACACAUCUAGUACAACUUAUAACAAUGGAUCUCUAGGCUCUU
rnacentral:misc_RNA from 1 species